ensembl:rRNA 5S_rRNA 5S ribosomal RNA
UCCUGCACCCAUACCACCUUCGGCAGGGAUGCUGUCAGAUUUCACAAGCUAAGCACGUUGGUCUGGAUUGGUACUUGGAUGGAUGACCACCAGAAAAUUUCUACAGUGUUGUAGGUG